rnacentral:rRNA from 1 species
AUCAUCGUACUCCGAAUGNNUAGAUAAGUUGAUCAUGGCUCAGAUNCGAACGCUUGGCGGCAGGCCCUAACACAUGCAAGUCGAGCGGAUGACGGGAGCUUGCUCCCUUGAUUCACAGCCUGGGGCGCUCGUGAGAACCUGGUGGCUGGUGUUGGGCAGCAGACGGUUUAUACAAAUUGUGGGGCCCCUUUUAUAAAGCGUGGGGCGCACACANAUUUUCCUUGUGGGGUCCCCCCUUUUAUGGAGNGGUUUAAAGGGGUUUUUGGAGUGCGGCUCGCUGGCUGCGGGAGAAACAAAAAACCGUGGGUUUUAUUUUUUCUCGGGACAAAAAAC